UCCAGACUCCUACGGGAGGCAGCAGUGGGGAAUAUUGGGCAAUGGGCGCAAGCCUGACCCAGCAACGCCGCGUGAAGGAAGAAGGCUUUCGGGUUGUAAACUUCUUUUCUCAGGGACGAAGAAAGUGACGGUACCUGAGGAAUAAGCCACGGCUAACUACGUGCCGGCAGCCGCGGUAAUACGUAGGUGGCAAGCGUUAUCCGGAUUUACUGGGUGUAAAGGGAGCGUAGACGGUCCUGCAAGCCAGAUGUGAAAGCCCGGGGCUCAACCCCGGGACUGCAUUUGGAACUGUAAGGCUAGAGUGCCGGAGAGGCAGGCGGAAUUCCUAGUGUAGCGGUGAAAUGCGUAGAUAUUAGGAAGAACACCAGUGGCGAAGGCGGCUUUCUGGACUGAAACUGACGCUGAGGCUCGAAAGCGUGGGGAGCGAACAGGAUUAGAUACCCCAGUAU
rnacentral:rRNA from 1 species